GACGAACGCUGGCGGCGUGCCUAAUACAUGCAAGUAGAACGCACAGUUUAUACCGUAGCUUGCUACACCAUAAACUGUGAGUUGCGAACGGGUGAGUAACGCGUAGGUAACCUGCCUGGUAGCGGGGGAUAACUAUUGGAAACGAUAGCUAAUACCGCAUAAUAUUGAUUAUUGCAUGAUAAUUGAUUGAAAGAUGCUAUUGCAUCACUACCAGAUGGACCUGCGUUGUAUUAGCUAGUAGGUGAGGUAACGGCUCACCUAGGCGACGAUACAUAGCCGACCUGAGAGGGUGAUCGGCCACACUGGGACCGAGACACGGCCCAGACUCCUACGGGAGGCAGCAGUAGGGAAUCUUCGGCAAUGGACGAAAGUCUGACCGAGCAACGCCGCGUGAGUGAAGAAGGUUUUCGGAUCGUAAAGCUCUGUUGUAAGAGAAGAACGGGUGUGAGAGUGGAAAGUUCACACUGUGACGGUAUCUUACCAGAAAGGGACGGCUAACUACGUG
rnacentral:rRNA from 1 species